rnacentral:rRNA from 1 species
AUUGAACGCUGGCGGCAGGCCUAACACAUGCAAGUCGAGCGGAUGAAGGGAGCUUGCUCCUGGAUUCAGCGGCGGACGGGUGAGUAAUGCCUAGGAAUCUGCCUGGUAGUGGGGGAUAACGUCCGGAAACGGGCGCUAAUACCGCAUACGUCCAGAGGGAGAAAGUGGGGGAUCUUCGGACCUCACGCUAUCAGAUGAGCCUAGGUCGGAUUAGCUAGUUGGUGGGGUAAAGGCCUACCAAGGCGACGAUCCGUAACUGGUCUGAGAGGAUGAUCAGUCACACUGGAACUGAGACACGGUCCAGACUCCUACGGGAGGCAGCAGUGGGGAAUAUUGGACAAUGGGCGCAAGCCUGAUCCAGCCAUGCCGCGUGUGUGAAGAAGGUCUUCGGAUUGUAAAGCACUUUAAGUUGGGAGGAAGAGCAGUAAGUUAAUACCUUGCUGUUUUGACGUUACCAACAGAAUAAGCACCGGCUAACUUCGUG